UUGUCGGGAAAAUUCUAAGAAACACACCUUUGAAACUUCUAUUCUGAUUCUAGCUUAUCAUCUCGCCAACCCAAUUCCAUUCUCAUUCUCCAUGAGCUUUCUACGAUUGACUAUACCGAACCAGCUCAUCAUCAUUCUGAUUCUCCAAUUCUAAUUUUCUCCCUGAGCUUCUGCAGAUGACCAUGCCCACAGCCCACAUCUUCCUAAGACUACCCAUCCUCUUCAUCAUCUUCAACUUGAUCACAAAGUUGAUCCCCUCUGCUCUUUGCGAUGACGCUGCUCAAUACACAGAGUGCCGCAAUACCUACGACUGCGGUUUGCUUAAAAACAUAACCUACCCUUUCUGGGCCGCCAACAGUCGGCCCCAACACUGCGGGCGAGAAGGGUACGAACUCACCUGCCGAGAUAAUCAAUACCCUGUUUUCAGAAUUGAAGAACAAGAUUUCCUUGUCUUGAACAUUAGCCGGGAAGGUUACAUAAUCACAAUUGCUCGCUUAGACCUCUGGGACAGACCUUGCACUAGCAGGCUCAUCAACACCACUUUGGACUACGAUCGUUUCGCUUACGUUCAAGCUGUUCGGAACCUGACUUUGUUCUAUGGCUGCGUCCCUCACAAUCAGUCAAUCGCAAAUAACUUUACUUGCAAAAUAGAGGGUACCCAAAACGAUCUUGCGUUCUAUAUAGACGACUCUAUCUCGAGGGUUAAUCCUCUUCAGAAUGAGACCUUGUGCCUCCGCAAUAUCAGAGUCCCCAUAAUGUGGACUGGUGUUGAUCCUCUGCUUGAGAAUUACACGAUGGACGUACUGGAACAAGUUUUGAAGCAAGGCUUCAGGGUUGAGUACAACGCCGACUGGAAGCUCUGUGGGCCAUGCAUGCUCUCUAAUGGAAACUGCGGAUCCAACAUCACCACUGACUCUUUUCUCUGCUUUUGCGGGGACCAAACUUAUGAGGAAACCUGUCCAAGUUCUGGAGACAAUUCGGGGAUCUGGAAAAGAAAGGUUAUCGUCGGUGCUGCUGCUGCAGGAAGUGGGAUCUUACUAUGUGUUAUCGUUUGCUGUAUUAAAAGUAGGAAGCAAACUUUCAUGAGGACAAAGAGCCAUCAAGAUCUUGAGGCCUUCAUUCAGAACAAUGGACCUCUAGCAGUAAAAAGAUACAAAUUUUCGGAUAUCAGAAAAAUGACCAACUCAUUUAGAGAUAAACUGGGUCGAGGGGGUUAUGGUGAUGUGUAAAAGGUAAGCUACGGGAUGGUUGUCUUGUGGCUGUGAAGGUUCUUAAUGCAUCCAAAGGGAAUGGAGAAGACUUCAUAAACGAGGUUGCAAGCAUUAGUAGAACUUCCCAUGUUAAUGUUGUCACUCUGUUGGGGUAUUGCUUUGAAGGUCAGAAAAAAGCUCUCAUAUAUGAGUUCAUGCCCAAUGGAUCGCUUGAGAAGUUCAUCUGCAAAGAAAAUUCUUUGGAAACCACUCCACACUUGGAACUGGAAAAACUAUUUGAAAUUGCUAUUGGGAUAGCUCGAGGGCUCGAGUACUUGCACCGUGGAUGCAACACACGAAUUUUGCAUUUUGACAUAAAACCACAUAAUAUCCUUUUGGAUGACAACUUUUGCCCAAAGAUUUCUGACUUUGGGCUUUCUAAACUUUGCCCGAAGAAGGAGAGUAUUAUGUCGAUGUUGGAUGCAAGAGGGACAAUAGGGUACAUAGCUCCAGAAGUGUUCUGUAGAAACUUUGGAGGAGUCUCUGUUAAGUCUGAUGUCUAUAGUUAUGGAAUGAUGAUUCUGGAGGUGGCUGGAGGAAGAAAGAACAGCGAUGUUCAAGUGAGCCAUACCACUGAUGCUUUUUUUCCGGAUUGGAUUUAUAAGCAUCUAGAGCAGGGCAGCAAUUUAGGAUUGCCCAAUCCUAUGACCCAAGAGGAAAAUGAACUUGCAAGGAAGAUGAUUUUGGUGGGGUUGUGGUGCAUACAGACAAAGCCACCAGAUAGGCCAUCCAUGAGUAAAGUGAUUGAAAUGCUGGAAGGAAGCAAUGAAGCCUUGCAAAUACCACCAAAGCCCGUCCUAACUUCUCCUAUAAGAACACCAGCAGAAUCAGAAUCUUCCACCUUCUCACUUAUAUGUUAAUAUCUUUUCUUACUUGGUGUACAUCUUUUGGAUGAAUCAGUUCCUAGUCAAUUUUAAAGUCAUUCUAAUAAGAUUUUCCCUUUCGCAUU